rnacentral:rRNA from 1 species
AUUGAACGCUGGCGGCAGGCCUAACACAUGCAAGUCGAACGAGUGGCGGACGGGUGAGUAAUGUCUGGGCAUCUGCCACCUGGAGGGGGAUCACUACUGGAAACGGUAGCUAAUACCUCAUACCAUCAGAUGUUCCCAGAUGGGAUUAGCUUGUUGGUGGGGUAACGGCUCACCAAGGCGCCGAUCCCUAGCUGGUCUGAGAGGAUGACCAGCCACACUGGAACUGAGACACGGUCCAGACUCCUACGGGAGGCAGCAGUAGGGAAUAUUGCACAAUGGGCGCAAGCCUGAUGCAGCCAUGCCGCGUGUAUGAAGAAGGCCUUCGGGUUGUAAAGUACUUUCAGCGGGGAGGCGUUACCCGCAGAAGAAGCACCGGCUAACUCCGUGCCAGCAGCCGCGGUAAUUC